UUGGAGUUGCUAGAAGCAGUCAAAUAUGGACUACAGAUACCUUCUUGUGCCGUGUCAAAGGAAAAGCAGCUGGGAAACACAUAGUAACUGACAAAUGUAGACUGACCUUUAUAACCAGAACUGGCAGAGAUCUGGGUGUGACUUCACAAGGAAAGACAAUGCAAUGGAAGGACUGUGCUGGUCACAGGAAAAACAGUGAGCUUCCUCUCGAUUUCUGCUUUCCUCAGAUUUAGAUGGAUAAAGAAGACACAGGGCAAUCUUGGAUCUGCACUCCACUUCCUGGCCCACAGCUCUGCCUGACUUCUGGGAGGUCUGUGGCCAACCAGAAAAACCAGUUUCAUCAUGCUCCUGUCCAUGAAUCCUGAUAUCUUCUAGUUCCUGUCCCUCUCCACAUGACUUUGUUACCUAAUUCCCUGGUCAUAUCACCAUCAUUACCAUCAUGACCAUCACCAUCUGCAGCAGCAGCAUCACUACCACCACCAGCAGCAGCAGCAAGUGGAGGAGGAGCAGCAGCAGCAGCAGGAGGAUGAGGAGGAGCAGCAGCAGCAGGAGGAGGAAGAGGAGCAGCAGCAGGAGGAUGAGGAGGAGCAGCAGCAGCAGGAGGAGGAAGAGGAGCAGCAGCAGCAGCAGUAGCAGGAUCUAAUCACCAUCCACACUCCUCUUUGUCUACAGCAGUGUUAUUUCUCAGUUCUGUUUCCAGUGCUCUGAGGAAUGAAUCUUUUUCCCUAUUGUAGAUUUUGCAAUCACAUCCCAUUGAAGUUCUGCAUAGCUGUCUUCAAGUUCAGAGGACUGGCCCUGAUCGGGGUCCAUGCUGGAUACCUCUAGCAUGUGACUGUGGACCUUGGCUGAAACAUACAUUGCUUCCAUGCAUGUGAGGGAUUUUCUGAGAUGCUCACGAAGACAGUGCUAUGUUCAUUGUUGUUUCUAGAGAAGUGGUCUCAUUCAGAUUCAGCAAGCAAUUAUUAUAGGCAGGUUGUAUACCAGGUUACCAGGUACAGCAUCUAUAUUUCCAUACAGAAAGAGAACUUGUGAGUCAGUUGUUGGGCCAGCUCAUUAUCUAGUCCCUACCUUUGUGUGUGUGUGUGUCUGUGUGUGUGUGUGUGUGUGUGCGCGCAUGCGUGUGUGCAGUUGAUAAGUGUAGUGAACAUACACAUGUGUGAGGAUGGUUCUGGCCCUUGCAUGCACAUAAAGGUCAGAGGAGGACAUGAAGGUCAGAGGAGGACCUCCAAUGUUCCACUCAAUCACUCUCUGCCUCAUUCCCUGAAGACAGGUCUCUCACUGAGCCUAGAGCUAGCUAGCAGCCAGUGAGGACAGCAAUCCUCCUGUCUCAUUCUCACACAUUUCUGGGAUUACUGACAUCCAUAGUAAUGUUCCACUUUUCAUAUUGAUGAUAGGAUUUGAAUUGAGGUUCUCUUACUAGUACUACAAGCACUCUGGCCCACUGGGUCAUCACCCUGAGUCCCUGCUUCUUAUUUGAACAUCUCUAGUGUGUACCAAGGACCAAGCCUAUGUC